rnacentral:rRNA from 2 species
ACCCUGAUCAGCCAUGCCGCGUGAGUGAUGAAGGCCCUAGGGUCGUAAAGCUUCGCCUGUGAAGAUAAUGACGGUAGCAGGUAAAGAAACCCCGGCUAACUCCGUGCCAGCAGCCGCGGUAAUACGGAGGGGGUUAGCGUUGUUCGGAAUUACUGGGCGUAAAGCGCACGUAGGCGGAUCGGAAAGUUGGGGGUGAAAUCCCGGGGCUCAACCCCGGAACUGCCUCCAAAACUAUCGGUCUAGAGUUCGAGAGAGGUGAGUGGAAUUCCGAGUGUAGAGGUGAAAUUCGUAGAUAUUCGGAGGAACACCAGUGGCGAAGGCGGCUCACUGGCUCGAUACUGACGCUGAGGUGCGAAAGUGUGGGGAGCAAACAGGAUUAGAUACCCUGGUAGUCCACACCGUAAACGAUGAAUGCCAGUCGUCGGGUAGCAUGCUAUUCGGUGACACACCUAACGGAUUAAGCAUCCGCCUGG